rnacentral:lncRNA from 1 species
UUGGAGUCAGGCCACUUGUGCCACGGCUUGAGCAAACCGUGCUGCCUGUAGCUCCGCCA